GAUAAUUGUAAGCGUAAUUUAGGGGACUUUCUUGGGUAUACUAGACCAUGUAUACCCAAAUCUACAAAUACUAUAUUUACCAAAAAUGUUAGCGGCAGAGUCGCGCAAUGUAAUUCUUGGAAUUACAGAUUUUUCAGAACCAAGCUCUCUCAUCGAGUUUCGGGACAGAAGAAUUGGAUACGCUCGGGAGCCUACACUCCCAGAUGUUGUAUAUAGAUGUAAUAUAACAGGUGAGUAAAGAUUUCACCUGACAUAUAAC